rnacentral:hammerhead_ribozyme from 1 species
CUCCAGCUGAAGAGUCCCAAAUAGGACGAAAUGCGCAUCCUGGAU